rnacentral:rRNA from 1 species
CCUACGGGCGGCAGCAGUGGGGAAUAUUGGACAAUGGGGGGAACCCUGAUCCAGCCAUGCCGCGUGUGUGAAGAAGGCCCUCGGGUUGUAAAGCACUUUCAGUGAGGAAGAACGCCUGGUGGUUAAUACCCAUCAGGAAAGACAUCACUCACAGAAGAAGCACCGGCUAACUCCGUGCCAGCAGCCGCGGUAAUACGGAGGGUGCGAGCGUUAAUCGGAAUUACUGGGCGUAAAGCGCGCGUAGGUGGCUUGAUAAGCCGGUUGUGAAAGCCCCGGGCUCAACCUGGGAACGGCAUCCGGAACUGUCAAGCUAGAGUGCAGGAGAGGAAGGUAGAAUUCCCGGUGUAGCGGUGAAAUGCGUAGAGAUCGGGAGGAAUACCAGUGGCGAAGGCGGCCUUCUGGACUGAAACUGACACUGAGGUGCGAAAGCGUGGGUAGCAAACAGGAUUAGAUACCCUGGUAGUC